UAGAUAGAAAUAACAUAAAAAUAAUUCACUUAGAAAAAGAUAUGUAUAAACGCAAAUUUAAAGAACAUAUAGAGAUUAUAAAAUGUAAAGAUGAUUUAAUAAACAUUUCAAAUGGUAUGCAAAUAGAUCAAAUGUGGUAUAAUAUAAUAGAGGGCGCUAAUAGAUAAAUUGGUUUGUAAUGUCUGGUGACAUAAAAUAUUAAAGUAAAAUAUAUUGUAAAAGUGUGAAUGUAUCCUCUUAAGUGUGUUAAUAGUAAUUAACCUGAAAAAAACGUUCAUUAUUGCUGCAACAUUUCAAUAAAGUGCAUACGAAUUUUUCUUGAAAAAAGUUGUAAUUGUAAAGGUUUUUAUGAACAUUUGUAAAGUGUGCAACGUAUUAAUGUGAAUAUGUAGUUGAAGUGUUUUUUAAAUGGCUGUAUUUUUAUUCUUUUACAACGUUACCAAUUAUACACCGAAGUUUUUAGAAAACAGAAUCUGAGUUUGUACUGAAGAGGGACUUAAAUUACAAUUGAGUCCGAAAUGCAUAUAACAAAUCAAUAAAGGAAAUUCAUAACCUGAAUGCUGUAUAUGAUAGUCUACCGAACUGAAAAUCGGAUUAAAGAGACAAAUUCAC